GAUCGAAAGCAGCUCAAUACUACUAGAGUUCAAGACCUGAGAAUUCAAGUUCCAUUUGGUUCUCAUUAUGAGUAGACCGAUGCUUGCGAGACCGACUGCACUUAUCCGGGAGGUGAAACACAGGCGAUCAAUUCACACCAGCCUCAGCCAAGAGGUCGCACGUGGGAGAGAACGGAAGGAACCAGGGAAGGAGCGAUGCGGGAGGGUGGAUGAUUCGUCGUGGUGGGUCCCACAUCCAACGACCGGGAUUUAUUAUCCGAAAGGACAUGAAUGGGUGAUGGAGGAUGUUCCGCGAGGUGCUUCCUCCUUCGGACAAACGUAUUGGCUGAGAAGCUUCGAAGGUGUUGAGAAGCCGGCUUCGGAUCCUUCAACCGGCGAUAUCUUUGACCAUCCACUUCUUAAUGUGUGAACCUGCGUCCUCGUGACACACGAGUCCAUGCUCUGUACUAUCCUAUUACGAGAAUAAAAUGGUUUUCUGGA